AGCUCGGACUGUGCUUUGGUUUUUAGAUGUGAAAGAUACAAAAUCAGUGUUUUGAGAAAUAAUGCUUCUUGGCCAUAAUAAAAUGGCCAGACGAUCCAUAAUAUUUAUUGUUAUGUGGGUACAUUUUUCCUGCACUUUGCCAAAAAAGGUUACAAAAUGUGAUGAUAAUACAACUGAAACAUCUAGUGGCACAGCAUAUUGGAAAUUUCGGGGCAUUCGUUAUACAACUUCUGAAGACAUUCUUUGUUGGAAGGAUCAUUGGGAACUCUUUUUACGCGAGUGUAACACAACUACUGGCCAGUGGCUGCCAGAAAAUGUUGUAUGCAAACCAGAAGAGAGGAUUAAUAAGUAUUGCCCGGAGGACUUAGUCGAAAUUUAUGAUGACAAAGGUGAUCCGCUAUGUCUUAAAAUUUCAUCAAAGCCGCAUAAGUAUGAUGAAAAUUUUUGCCAUGGUUCAAAUAAAAUUUUACCAUUAGAUUUUUCUAAACAUCAGAUUGUAAGUUUCACACGGUUCUUGUAUGAAAAAAACAUUAGUGAAUAUUGGUUACCAAUACAACGUGAAAAUAGUUAUAUGCCAUAUAAGAUACGUUUGCCAGGUGACCGUUGGGAACAAGUAGUCAACGACAAUAUAAACCUAACAGAUUUUAGAUCUGAUAAAAAAUGUAUGUCAGCACGAUAUUACUAUCGAGUACAUCAAAAUAAUGAUAAGAAAGAAAGUUCUGAUUUUAUCCUGAAUAUUACUGAUUGUGAAGACUUAUUGCACUCGAUUUGUAUAUAUCAAGGUAAUUUAAUAGCCAGUUCAGGCUGUCCCGAAGGAGAAGGCGCGUUUAGCUAUCGUCCACAUGAAUGCUAUGGUGUCAACUGGCAAAAAAUAUUAUAUACAGAACAAAUUGAGCUUCGCAUAAAAGAUUAUUUUUCUAAACGCAAUCGUUUCAGAAUGUUACUUAAAAAAUUCCUACCAAAGGAAAAAAAAAAUGAAUUCUUUCAAGUUGACAAUUUUGUGGACAAAUUUGGCGACGAGUACGUGAUUCUCAUGAACAGAAAUGAAGUAGUGCAAGUUGUUAAUCAUGAAAAUAACAAUAGAUUUCCAAUUUUAUACAAGAAUAUUAUUGACAGGCAAGAAAACGCCGUUGAACUGAUAUUGAAACUUGACGUAACAUUACAAGCUUUAAUUCUGAUAGUUUACAAUGGGGAGUAUAUUUGGCGUACUAAUAAAAAUGACAAUGGUGUGCAUUGUUUUACAAACGCAGACUAUGACCUUCAACGAAGCACUAAAAUUGAUCUUAUUUGGGAAAAUAAAAGUAAGACCAAGUCAAUAUUUAAAGUGAAACUACUUGGUGACGGACCAGGCGAAUAUUGGUGUGCAGGACACACCAUCUUUAAUUUUAAUUUAGUGACCACCCAACGGGUAGUGGCAACAAAAAAACAACGUGGACAUUCCUUUGCUGUGAAAAUAAGUAUCCCUUGCAUAAUAGUAAGUAAAAACGAACACACUAACAUGUGCAACAAUAUUUAUAAAAACAUAAAAAAGCUUGGAAAGCAUGUACUAAAAGUGCUACGAGAAAGAAGUGGCGAGGUUUCUCGAGACCUGAAUCUACAUAAUUCACGUAUUAUGAGUAUAGAAGAAAUUGCUACACAAAAUUUAAAUUGUUGGGUUCACUUGACUGCUUCCCUAAAAAACUCUGCAGUUGAUGAUAGUGAAGAGGAAAGUAGCCAAGAAGAUAAUAGCUUGGAAAACGAUUAUCAUGUUAGACACGACACUUCAGUACGUAUGCAAGUUUGGACUUUGUUGAAAGAGCUAUUAUCAAUUUACAGUCCGAAUAAUACGAUUGUAAUACGCAGCUCAGAAUAUUGUUUUCCAAUUAUAUUUCAUUUGAAUAAUGAUACAUACCAGUGGAAGCAGGCAGUAAUUGGGCAAGUGGGCACAUUAUCACAAUUGUGUCUUCAAAGUAAUGGCAUGCCAUAUACACGUCAUUGUCGUGGCAAUUUUACGCAUGGUGCUUAUUGGGAAACAUUGAAGGGAAACAUAUCAUGCCAACUUAAUCAACACAAAUUGAAAAUAACUAAAACUCUUUACAGCUUAACUAACUCGAAAAUGCUUAAAGCCUCACCAGAAAGAGUGGUUAAAAAAGUUAAAGAUAUUUUGCAAGAAUAUGCUACACAGGUUUUACCAGUGGAUAUACAUUUUGCUGCUGACAUUGUGCAAGUUUCUGUAAAAAAUUUGGAUCAGUUUGUUUUGAGUUUGCCCAAAAAAGCGAUGGCUGCGGAGCUUAGUCAUGCUGACGCAAUAUUGAAAGACAUCACCCAAGAUCUUAUAUAUAUUUACAAUUUUCUGCUAAAUGUGAAGGAAACCACAAUACGGAUGUCAGCUAAAUUAAACUCAACCAACAAACUUCUGGAGGCAUUUGAAAUCGCAAUGAAUACUUUUUCAUCACAGACAAUAUUUAAUAAAGAUAAUUUAAGCGAAGCCAUUGUAAAUUCUAACGAAUUAGAACCGAGAACCGAUUUUGAAGUCUUGGACUAUGAGGAUAUUGGAGUUUCAGUAAAAAUAUCACCCAAUUUACUCUAUUUUAUUAUUAACCCGUUGAUAGCUAAUAUUUCUGGAAUAGCAAUAUUUAAAAAUAAUAAUAAUGCAACGGAACUACCAUAUUUAUUAAAUGGUGCAUUUCAAAAUGAGCACUACCGAUUCCUGCAGUCGAAUCAUGAAAUUGAGGACUUCAUUUACGAACCUAACUUACAAUUAGCCACAUAUGUUCCAGAAAAGCUCUUGGAACAAUUGGAUGCAAAUUUAAAUACCCAUAAUGUUACCGAGGUAACAAAUAGUAUUGUGAUUAUUAAAGUCUACUCAAAUGACAAACUUUUUCAAUCACAAGCCAAUCAUAUCUCACGAAGUGCUUUGGGUCGUGUCGUUUCAAUAUCCUUACCAGGUCACAGUACGCAUUUACCUGAAGAAUUGCCACUUGCUUUUAGAGUUUCUCAAAGUAGUUCAUCAAAACACAAUAAAUCCAAAGAUAUGUGUGGAUAUUGGAAUUUUGAGAAUUGGGCCUCUGAUGGGAUUAAGGCCUCUAGUCUCUCCGAAAUUUACGAAGAUAUUGCAGUAUGUCAAGUAAGCCAUCUAACGCCAUUCGCUUACCUAGUAGGCUUUAAUUUCACUGUGGAAGAAGACAUUGAAGUAAAUAUUCAGCAAAUUCAUGACCAGGCUCUUGACAUUAUAACGGUAACAGGCUGCACAUUAUCGCUUCUCGGUAUAACUGGCAUAUUUAUAACUGCAGCAAUAUUUAAUUCUUGGCGUCAGAAACCGUCUUCUAAGGUACUACUACAACUAUCAGCUGCAAUAGCUUUGCAGAUGAUAAUUCUUUGCUUUGUUAAUACAGAGGAAUACUCACUACAUUUAAUUAUAAAUAAGAUAAUACCUAGUUGUGUAGCAAUUGGCGCUCUUCUUCACUACUCUGUCCUGGUUCAGUUCUUCUGGAUGAUGGUAAUUGCAUACUUGCAAUUCAAGAGAUAUGUGCAUGUAUUUGGAGGAACCCGGCCGAACAGAUUCUUUAUGAAAUCGACCGCUUUAUGUUGGGGUGUACCAGUUAUACCAGUUGUGCUUGUUAUUGUGCUAGAUUAUGAUUCGUUUAGUCAAGGGGCCAUUUGCUACCCUUCCGGUUAUGCGCUUUAUUUCGGCAUAAUUAUGCCAAUUUCCAUCAUCAUAUUAGCAAACUUUAUUAUCUUUUGUCUUAUUAUAUAUAAUAUAUUAGGAAGGUCCAGCACACCAAUAAGGCAUACUGAUAAACCCGUUUUAAUCUAUCAGAUAAGGCUAUCAGUACUGCUUUUUUUUCUAUUGGGAUUUACGUGGUUUUUCGGCUUUUUAUCAACAAUAAAAGUUGGUAUUGUAUUUUCAUACCUUUUCUGUCUCACAGCAACACUGCAAGGGUUUGUUAUCUUUAUAUAUUUUAUUAUCUUAGAUCCUGUUACGAGACGUAUGUGGGGCAAAUUUUUUUACGAACUUUGUUCUAAUAAUAAGAGUUAUCUUCAAAGUACAGGUACUAAUAAAGACACAACGCAAACAUAUUAAAUAAUGUACUACUUAAUUUGUCAUUGAUUUAUUUGUGAAAAACACAAGUAUUAGGUUAAUAAUAUAACAAGUAUAUAUAGUAUUUAAUAUUCUAAUAAACAAUUAUUUCACGAAA